AUUGAACGCUGGCGGCAGGCCUAACACAUGCAAGUCGAGCGGAUGAAGGGAGCUUGCUCCUGGAUUCAGCGGCGGACGGGUGAGUAAUGCCUAGGAAUCUGCCUGGUAGUGGGGGAUAACGUCCGGAAACGGGCGCUAAUACCGCAUACGUCCUGAGGGAGAAAGUGGGGGAUCUUCGGACCUCACGCUAUCAGAUGAGCCUAGGUCGGAUUAGCUAGUUGGUGGGGUAAAGGCCUACCAAGGCGACGAUCCGUAACUGGUCUGAGAGGAUGAUCAGUCACACUGGAACUGAGACACGGUCCAGACUCCUACGGGAAGCAGCAGUGGGGAAUAUUGGACAAAGGGCGAAAGCCUGAUCCAGCCAUGCCGCGUGUGUGAAGAAGGUCUUCGGAUUGUAAAGCACUUUAAGUUGGGAGGAAGGGCAGUAAGUUAAUACCUUGCUGUUUUGACGUUACCAACAGAAUAAGCACCGGCUAACUUCGUG
rnacentral:rRNA from 1 species